rnacentral:rRNA from 1 species
UGGGGAAUAUUGGACAAUGGCCGCAAGGCUGAUCCAGCCAUCCAGCGUGCAGGAAGAAGGCCCUAUGGGUUUUAAACUGCUUUUAUCAGGGAAGAAACCUGUGGAUUUACUCCGCAGCUGACGGUACCUGAAGAAUAAGCACCGGCUAACUCCGUGCCAGCAGCCGCGGUAAUACGGAGGGUGGGAGCGUUAUCCGGAAUUACUGGGUUUAAAGGGUGCGUAGGCGGCGAGGUAGGUCAGGGGGGAAAG